GGCUCAGGACGAACGCUGGCGGCGUGCUUAACACAUGCAAGUCGAGCGGAGAAUAUAGCAAUAUAUCUUAGCGGCGGACGGGUGAGUAACGCGUGGGUAACCUGCCUUUUACAGGGGGAUAACACUGGGAAACUAGUGCUAAUACCGCAUAAAAUAGUGAAGUGGCAUCACUUUACUAUCAAAGGAGCAAUCCGGUAAAAGAUGGACCCGCGUCCGAUUAGCUAGUUGGAGGGUAACGGCCCACCAAGGCGACGAUCGGUAGCCGAACUGAGAGGUUGAUCGGCCACAUUGGGACUGAGACACGGCCCAGACUCCUACGGGAGGCAGCAGUGGGGAAUAUUGCGCAAAGUGGGGGAAACCCUGACGCAGCAACGCCGCGUGAAGGAUGUAAGGUUUUCGGAUUGUAAACUUCUUUGAGUUGGGGACGAUAAUGACGGUAACCCAAAAAACAAGCCACGGCUAACUACGUGCCAGCAGCCGC
rnacentral:rRNA from 1 species